GGUGCUGCUCCCUGGGUCCCCCCUGGACCCCCCCAACCCUGGCUGGAUGAAGCCCCCCCCUUUGAACCCAGGGCUGUGGGGAAUACCCUUGGUGUGAGCCCCUGUGGAGUAAUUACUAAAAUGAUCAAAAAUACAGCAUUGUCACACAUUAAGGAAAGGUAUAAAAUCAAAAAGCUUCUAGGGUAGAAUACAGCCACAGCUGGGAUGCGAAGAAUCUGUGAUUCCCUGUACAAUAUUGCUUGCAAAGCAACAUGGGGGGCAAAGUGGAAUGGAGAGCCCAUGGUCUCUCCCUGUGAAAAUCCAGCAGAUAUGGGAACGUGAUGGUCCUGUGGAACCGACAAGCUGCAUACUUAGUACCCUGAGCCAACAGUCUGUCGAAUUUUGAUGAAAUGCUGUCCUUUGUGCCAACUUUGCUCAUUAUGAUGUUGUUAUAAUACCAAAACACACCUCCAUCCCAGAGGCUACCCGCCUCCAAGGUGUGACCACUCCUCCUGGAGUCUGCACCCUGAAUUUUUUGUAAACUCUACCUUUAAAUGUGAAGUGAGAGAAUUUUACACCAGUCAUAAUAAAGGUAUUUAUGACUAGAGUCACUCAAACUCCACCUUGAAGGUAAAAAAUAGUAUAAAAAUAGCCCAAGAAAGGGGGGAUAUCAGGGAAGACACCAUCGUGAACAAGUCAAGAAGGACUCCAUCACAGACUGCCUUUGACUUCUGGGACCGGUCAACGGGCUGAGCCUUUCUUCCCCCUCAUAGGGACGCCUUUGGGUAAGACUUGGACUAUACUGUGUGCUUCCUCGGGAAACUUAGAAAUCUCUCUAGAGAGUCUUUUCCCUAUAUUCGUAGCCAGACCGUAUUGUUUAUAACCUUGUCGCGUGUUUUGUUUUAUUUGCACGUGCUUUGCAGACAGGGUAUUUAUCACCAGCAACCGUAAGAACCUAUAUAUCUGUUGCUUAAAUAAAUUGCACUGUUUAAGUAGCUGGUUGUUUCGGUUUCUCAUGGAACACGGCCAAAGAGAGUGGCCGUGCUAGUUCAUGAGCACGACUAGACUGAAGGUGCAGUCCACUAUUAGUGUAUCCAGAUCGUAACAGUUGAAUGUAUUAAACGCGACUGGGCUGAUCGUGGUGAAUUGGGCAUCCCUCAGAAUUUAAACCCAGCCGCACCUGGCCUCCCACCUGGGUGAGGAGUGUUAGAACGCAAUGGGGUUUAUUUUCUGCCAAAACCAUUUUGCCCCUUAACGCAACAGUCCCCAGUGCCUAGGGUGGGGGGGGUCCCCAGGGUGUUCCCCCCUUGCCGUGCUGGGUGCAGGGAGACUCCAGGCACCCAGUGGGGGCAGGGGGGAACGACACACUUUUUAUUUUCCAGGUGUUUGUGCCGGAGCAGCAGUGGCAGCGGGUGCACCAUUGUCCUUGCAGGUGACUGGAGGAGCAGCUAGGUGUGACUGGUGUGGCAGGGAGGAAGAAUGCAGCUCCACCUCGGGGCACCUGAAGAGCUCGUAGGAACUGUCCCGGUUUCGCACCAAGGUGCAGGUGAUCUCCAGCAGCAGGUGCCUCGUCGUAGGCGUCUCGUGCUGCUCGAGAGAUGCCCCAGCCCAGGUUUGCAGCUGGUGGCGGAGCCCCCCUGAGGGGAAGGGGCCAGCCCUGGGUCUGGGUGUUUUGGGCAUUUUUUUGGGGUGAAUAGAAGGAUGUCUGUGUGUCUCAGGGUUGUGAGGAUGUCAUUUGGGGGUACCUCGACGUCAUUGGGGCAGCGGUAAUGCA